GGACGGCUUGGUGGGUGCGGUGCACUGCGGCGGUUGUGGUCCGCCGUCCGCCACCGUGACGGUUGCCUUCACCACCGUUCCACUCUCGACGGCGGUCAGC
rnacentral:tRNA from 1 species